GUGAUUUGAGGAUUGGAGGUGAUUUAAGAUCACCGCCACGUAGGAUCACCGUGGUGCAACCAAACGCGGUGAUCUCGUCACCUCCACCCACAUCACCCUUGAUCCUAGGACGAUCACCCCAUACCAAACGCCCCCUAGGUGUUGAUGGAACCCUAGCAAUUGCAGCCAUCUAUGAAAUCCAAGGCACCUAACCAACUGCCUUAGGGUUUC
rnacentral:lncRNA from 1 species